rnacentral:rRNA from 1 species
AGAUUGAACGCUGGCGGCAGGCCUAACACAUGCAAGUCGAGCGGCAGCACGGGUACUUGUACCUGGUGGCGAGCGGCGGACGGGUGAGUAAUGCCUAGGAAUCUGCCUGAUAGUGGGGGAUAACGUUCGGAAACGGACGCUAAUACCGCAUACGUCCUACGGGAGAAAGUGGGGGAUCUUCGGACCUCACGCUAUCAGAUGAGCCUAGGUCGGAUUAGCUAGUUGGUAGGGUAAAGGCCUACCAAGGCUACGAUCCGUAACUGGUCUGAGAGGAUGAUCAGUCACAUUGGAACUGAGACACGGUCCAGACUCCUACGGGAGGCAGCAGGUGGGAAUAUUGGACAAUGGGCGAAAGCCUAGAUCCAGCCAUGCCGCGUGUGUGAAAGAAGGUCUUCGGAAUUGUAAAAGCUAACGUUUUAAGGUUGGGAAGGAAGGGCUAAUUAAACCUAAUUACGGUUAAGUGUUUUUAGAACGUUACGACAAGAAUAAGCAACCGCUAACUCUGUCGCCAGCAGCCGAGUAAC